rnacentral:rRNA from 1 species
GAUGAACGCUGGCGGCGUGCCUAAUACAUGCAAGUCGAGCGAACAGACGAGGAGCUUGCUCCUCUGACGUUAGCGGCGGACGGGUGAGUAACACGUGGAUAACCUACCUAUAAGACUGGGAUAACUUCGGGAAACCGGAGCUAAUACCGGAUAAUAUAUUGAACCGCAUGGUUCAAUAGUGAAAGACGGUUUUGCUGUCACUUAUAGAUGGAUCCGCGCCGCAUUAGCUAGUUGGUAAGGUAACGGCUUACCAAGGCGACGAUGCGUAGCCGACCUGAGAGGGUGAUCGGCCACACUGGAACUGAGACACGGUCCAGACUCCUACGGGAGGCAGCAGUAGGGAAUCUUCCGCAAUGGGCGAAAGCUUGACGGAGCAACGCCGCGUGAGUGAUGAAGGUCUUCGGAUCGUAAAACUCUGUUAUUAAGGAAGAACAAAUGUGUAAGUAACUAUGCACGUCUUGACGGUACCUAAUCAGAAAGCCACGGCUAACUCCGUG